UCUUUUACGGACCUCGGCAAAGGUCGGGGCACAAAGUCGUGAAAGCUCUUCACUGUUCAGCUCUGACCACACUCUGCAUGGGCCUCUUGCCUCCUGAUGAAAGCUGCCUAACACCUACCCGAAGGAUAGGCCCGAGGAAGUCACCAGACUCUCAGCGGCUCUUCUUGGCUCUGGCCUCCUUCUCUGGCAACCAAAGCUGCCAAGCAAGAAGGGAUUCCCUUUCUUCUGGUCUUGAUUCCCUGAGAAAAAUGGAGCAUCUGGUUUUACCCGAGACGGGUUCCUAAAUGUGAGCAUUUGUGAAAAAGAACAAUACAAUUUAUUUUUCUUUACAGAUUCCUUGAGAGCAGUGACUGACAAUCAGGACAUGAUGGCUUCCGCCCCUAGCAUAUUUUGAAGCAAGAUGGAGGUCACCAACCCAGGGCUCAGGCUUCUGACAUGGAAAUGUCAUUUUGGUUUGGGUCCAGGAUGAGCAGAGAGAACUCAGGACUUUGAUGGCUGUUUAGUGAAAAAUGCAGCGUCCCAGAUACUCAGUGUGGGCAAGUCUGGCACUGGGGUUGAAUAAUUCCUUGUUGCCAGGGGCUAUCCUGCACGCUUUGGGCUGCUGACACCUUCCUCUGCUCCCACUCACCAGAGGCCAGAAGCAACUUUCCCUUACCUCACUCUGAUGAAAUUUAAAAACACUUGCUUAUUUUCAUGUCUAUUUGAUAAGUGAUCUGUGAUUAAUGGUGGGCUCUAAUAUACUGAGAUCCCUCAUUUAUGUUUAGUGGCUUGAUGCAGUACACUUUUUACAGAGAUUGCCUGGGGAAAUUCUAUGCAUUACUAUUUUAUUAUGACUGGAUAAUAUCGAAUAAUGGCUUGGCUUAUAGUCUUUUAAAAAGGAAUUGUUAUCUGUACCUUACAGAAGUGAUUCCAGCAGAUCUACUGAUGAAUUGAGGGAACCCCAGCAACCACAUUGUUUGGGGAGCACUGCUCCUGGUCCCUCAGUAGCAACACCAGCCUAGGAGGCCUGGAAAUACUGGUGACGUGGGAGGAUGAAUUAGACACUACUCCAGGAAACAUUUAAUGCUAAUCCUGUGCUUCGUUUGUUGUCUGUUACAACUUGAAGCAAACUUAUGGGAUCUGUGGCCAGUGACUCACGUACUAGGGCGUAAUCUUCAGCAAUUUAAUCUCUGUCUUAUUUUCCUCAUCUUCAAGAAUUAGAAUAAGAAGAUGAAAUGAAGUCACACCUUAAAGCAUGGAAACAUACACAGUGCAAGUUUUAUUCUUGGACAACAGAACAUCUGACAUAUAAUUCUCUUGUCUGUAUGUCAUGCAGCUUAGGUCUAGCUCACACACACCCCUUCCCCCGGAGCCUGAGACUCUGUUUAUAAAGGACCAUGAGCUCAGAUGGCAGUUCUUCCAGUGUUAUGAAUAGUGUUUCAGUGCUCCCUAGAAAUUAUGGUCGUAUCUGCAGGAACAGCCAGGGUGAACACAUACCGAAUCACAACAUACUCAACAAACCCAUGAAGGAGGAGGCUCUAUCCUCUUUCAUGGACUGAGAUGAAAAUAAAUGAAUUAUUUAUAAAGUGGCAUAGUUGGAACAGGGACAUCUUAACAGCCUCACUCUCAACAAAUGCAUGCUGAACUGGCAGAGAAUGAUGGAUAUGACAGUUUAAAUCCUCAAAAGGCUUGUGACCUGGCAGGUGACACAGACAUGCCUAAAAGAAUGUUGACGAGUCAUUGUGAGAACAAGAGAUCAGUGUUUGGUACUGUGGAAUGACUAAUAGGGCAAUGAUGGCUUUUUCUGGGAGUUUUUUUUUUUUUUCCUUAGGAGGAUAAAGAGGCCCUUAAAUGAGUGAAAAAGUCCAAGGCUGCUCCAGAAUAUAGAGCAUAGAUUGAAUGAGGUCUCCAUUGCUAAGGUGAUAGUGAUAUCUACUGAGAUAUGAUUUAUGUUGUCAUUGGUCACUCAGCCCAUUAUUUUAUUACCAGGAUUAUCUUUGAGAAAAGAAAGAUAAUAAAAUGCUGUUAGGCUUGAGGCAAAGUGGUCGCUAGUAUUUGUCUUUAUCAGUAAAAUCAGCAAAAUCGACAAGCCACUGGCAGACUCUGCCCUGUCCUGUAAAGACAAUGUGCUAGUCUGACAUUUCUGUGAUGAGAAGCCGCUUUCAGCAUGAGGUUUUAAAAUGGCUGUCUUGAGUUUCAUUCCGAGCUGGAAGUAAUUAGAGAGUUCAGUGCCGUGCCCUUCCUCUGAGGAUCCCCUUUCUGUGUUGAAUACUUGCUUUCUGUGUUGUUAGGGAAAAUGUGAGGUUGUGGGGCUCCACCUUGGGCAGACUGCCCACCAAGCAUAUGCCUGUGCUCUUCUUGUCUCCACUGAUGGUCUUGAAGAAAUGCCAUGGGUCUGAAAACGCCCAUCUGUAAUGCUCUGUGGCUUUCAAUCAGGGAAUUACUUAAGGGCUGGGAAAUCAUAGUUUCCAUUCAGUGCCUCUGAUGGUCCAACAGAAUGCAGUCUCUAGAAGCUAACAUUUCACCAUUGCAUCGUGUGUUCCCCGACUCAAAGCUAUGGACUCAAUGGAGGCUUCAUGCACUGAUCUCCUUGGGACCAAUGUUAGGAUGUAUAGGCAGAGUUACCAGCAUCAUUAAAAGCUGUUACAGAAGCCCGUAAUAGCAAAUUCCAAGCCUGCUGGAAGUGGCUUCUUCAUGGAGGAGAGUGUAUGUAGAGAUUUGAUAAUGCAUUGGAGAAAGGAUGAGGGAUGAGUUUGAGGAACUUGAGGACUAUGAGGGGAGUAAAAGCACAGAGGCGACACUUCCCAGAGGUCUGCUGUGCAGACAGGUUCUUAGCAUUCCAACAGCUGUUCGUCACCUGGAUCAGUACCACACAAGACACAGACACACGUCCUAUUUGCACUGAUGGCAAUUGCUGGCUGGGGAUCUCAAACUUUUAGUGCACUGGGGGUAGGGAGAAGAUGGGGAAAGAAGGAUGAGAAAGGAUUUCACGCAUUUAAAAAACAAGUAGUGAAAGUGAGGAAAAGCCACCUCUCCUGCUACGAAGAGCCACUGAUGGUGGGGGUUUCAUAGGCUGGUGUUUGAAAGCUUGGCCCCCCAAUAGUUAGUGGAACUGUUUGGCAAGGAUUUAUAGUAUUGUUGGAAGAAGUGAGUCACUGGGAGUGAGCUUUGAGGUUUCAAAAACCCAUACCAGG